rnacentral:rRNA from 1 species
GAAUGCUGACAUAAGUAACGAUAAAGCGGGUGAAAAGCCCGCUCGCCGGAAGACCAAGGGUUCCUGUCCAACGUUAAUCGGGGCAGGGUGAGUCGACCCCUAAGGCGAGGCCGAAAGGCGUAGUCGAUGGGAAACAGGUUAAUAUUCCUGUACUUGGUGUUACUGCGAAGGGGGGACGGAGAAGGCUAUGUUGGCCGGGCGACGGUUGUCCCGGUUUAAGCGUGUAGGCUGGUUUUCCAGGCAAAUCCGGAAAAUCAAGGCUGAGGCGUGAUGACGAGGCACUACGGUGCUGAAGCGACAAAUGCCCUGCUUCCAGGAAAAGCCUCUAAGCAUCAGGUAACAUCAAAUCGUACCCCAAACCGACACAGGUGGUCAGGUAGAGAAUACCAAGGCGCUUGAGAGAACUCGGGUGAAGGAACUAGGCAAAAUGGUGCCGUAACUUCGGGAGAAGGCACGCUGAUAUGUAGGUGAAGCGACUUGCUCGUGGAGCUGAAAUCAGUCGAAGAUACCAGCUGGCUGCAACUGUUUAUUAAAAACACAGCACUGUGCAAACACGAAAGUGGACGUAUACGGUGUGACGCCUGCCCGGUGCCGGAAGGUUAAUUGAUGGGGUUAGCGGUAACGCGAAGCUCUUGAUCGAAGCCCCGGUAAACGGCGGCCGUAACUAUAACGGUCCUAAGGUAGCGAAAUUCCUUGUCGGGUAAGUUCCGACCUGCACGAAUGGCGUAAUGAUGGCCAGGCUGUCUCCACCCGAGACUCAGUGAAAUUGAACUCGCUGUGAAGAUGCAGUGUACCCGCGGCAAGACGGAAAGACCCCGUGAACCUUUACUAUAGCUUGACACUGAACAUUGAGCCUUGAUGUGUAGGAUAGGUGGGAGGCUUUGAAGUGUGGACGCCAGUCUGCAUGGAGCCGACCUUGAAAUACCACCCUUUAAUGUUUGAUGUUCUAACGUGGGCCCCUUACCGGGGUUGCGGACAGUGUCUGGUGGGUAGUUUGACUGGGGCGGUCUCCUCCUAAAGAGUAACGGAGGAGCACGAAGGUUGGCUAAUCCUGGUCGGACAUCAGGAGGUUAGUGCAAUGGCAUAAGCCAGCUUGACUGCGAGCGUGACGGCGCGAGCAGGUGCGAAAGCAGGUCAUAGUGAUCCGGUGGUUCUGAAUGGAAGGGCCAUCGCUCAACGGAUAAAAGGUACUCCGGGGAUAACAGGCUGAUACCGCCCAAGAGUUCAUAUCGACGGCGGUGUUUGGCACCUCGAUGUCGGCUCAUCACAUCCUGGGGCUGAAGUAGGUCCCAAGGGUAUGGCUGUUCGCCAUUUAAAGUGGUACGCGAGCUGGGUUUAGAACGUCGUGAGACAGUUCGGUCCCUAUCUGCCGUGGGCGCUGGAGAACUGAGGGGGGCUGCUCCUAGUACGAGAGGACCGGAGUGGACGCAUCACUGGUGUUCGGGUUGUCAUGCCAAUGGCACUGCCCGGUAGCUAAAUGCGGAAGAGAUAAGUGCUGAAAGCAUCUAAGCACGAAACUUGCCCCGAGAUGAGUUCUCCCUGACUCCU